UGUUAUAUAUUUCUCAAUUAACAGAUAUAAAGAAGAUGACAAUUAGCAUGUGGGGAGUCCACAAGACAUUUUGAUGUGAAAUGUGGGUCCUUCUUCUUGACAAGGUGGGAAUAUGCUGCUCUAGCAAGACUGCAGUGAUGAAUCCCAGGGAUGCACACCUACCUACCGAGAGACCUCCAAACAGAGACAUCAACAUAGAAACCUCCGCAGAGAUAACCAGAUCUCCAUAUUGCAAACCCAUGCAAAAAGUAACCUAGAGAAACAGACGCCCAGAUGAAGAGGGGUGUGAGUACAAGCUUUGGUUUCCAGCAGAUUCUUGGCUGACAUUUCUGUCAGUGAUGUGAAAGGACAUUUACCCAGAUUCUAUAGAUAUUUUGGUUAUGCAUUCAACAAACCUACAAUGAAACUACCAGCAUAUAAAAGCAAUUGUGAACUCCAGAGAGUGCUAGAAAACAUUAUGGAAGACGGUAUGGUUUAUGUUAAUUUUAGAGGACUAAAGAGAUGUAAAAUAGGAGAACUGAAAAAGCCUCCACUUCCAGUGGCUCUUAGCGUGUAAUUAGUCCAAGGGGCAGCAAGCUGCCUUCUAGCAGAAUCCUUGUGAUCCCAAAGCCUGCAUGAGCGGGGCCCCUCUCUAGUGCUUUAUACAGUAAUUAAUAUUUAAAUGAUCUUGCUAAAGCCCUGUCAAGUCCUGAAGCAAGAUUUUGAAAAACAAAAAAAAACCCAUAAAACACAAAAUGAACAAAAACAUGAGCUCUGAGUUUGCUCUGUUGAAAGCAAUGGGUGGAAUUGCGUCUCCCCAUAAUAUGUAUGUUGAAGUCCUAACCUCCAGUACCUUCGGGUGUGACCUUAUUUGGAGAUGCA
rnacentral:lncRNA from 1 species